rnacentral:rRNA from 1 species
AACGAACGCUGGCGGCAUGCCUAACACAUGCAAGUCGAACGAGACCUUCGGGUCUAGUGGCGCACGGGUGCGUAACGCGUGGGAACCUGCCCUUAGGUUCGGAAUAACUCCCCGAAAGGGGUGCUAAUACCGGAUAAUGUCCUCGGACCAAAGAUUUAUCGCCCUUGGAUGGGCCCGCGUUGGAUUAGCUAGUUGGUAGGGUAAAAGCCUACCACGGCGACGAUCCAUAGCUGGUCUGAGAGGAUGAUCAGCCACACUGGGACUGAGACACGGCCGAGACUCCUACGGGAGGCAGCAGUGGGGAAUAUUGGAAAAUGGGCGAAAGCCUGAUCCAGCAAUGCCGCGUGAGUGAUGAAGGCCUUAGGGUUGUAAAGCUCUUUUACCCGGGAUGAUAAUGACAGUACCGGGAGAAUAAGCACCGGCUAACUCCGUG